GUGGGUAGCCACCCAUGCACGUUGACACAGCCAGAAGCGAGUACCCAGGGCGAUGGACCCAGAAGUGGAGGAUGAUCCAAUAGGUGUGAGGAAAAGACGCAUACUAGAGGGAGUCGAGGACUUGGCUGGCCUACAAAAUGUCACUAAGGGAUGCAACUGACAGCUGAAGUAGGAUCUUUUUUGUUUUUUGGCCAUGACAAUGCUUUGACAGUUGAUAAUAAACUGAUAAUUACGAUA